UAUUGUUCGUGUGCUGCUCUCUGUCAGUAAAGUUGGCUCUAUCUAUUUGAAGCAGAAUGCAAGAAAAGUUCUUGCAGUGCCAGAUCAGCAGUUUGCCAAUAUGAAAAGUGGGAAAAGAAGGAGAUCAACCCGAAAAGAUGAUUAAGCAAUGGGCCUUCAAGAGGUUUAUGAAAAAAUAGAAGAGGUUGUGAUGGCUGCCCAGUCGCUCCAGGAAGUGACUCAAGCUAUAGAAAACCUGUCUGAGCUGGGCAUCGAGUCAAGAAAGACUUACGUCUUGAUGGAGACACAAGCUGAGCAUGUUCGUGAGUCAUUCAGCUGUUCUGUGUGCAGGGGUAUGUUGAUUGUUACACUUUGAAACAAGCUGCUGUGUUCCUUAACGCAAACAGAUUUUUUUUUCCAAAUUCAAUACAAAAUGCCACUUAUCACUACUGCGGUAUCAACCUGCCUAGACCAAAUCGCGCAAAACACAAGCUUUUUUUGUUGCAGAAUGUGCAAGCUGAAGUAAUAAAGAAGC